rnacentral:rRNA from 1 species
UACGUAUGUGGCAAGCGUUUUCCGGAUUUAUUGGGUUUAAAGGGUGCGUAGGCGGCUUUGUAAGUCAGUGGUGAAAUAUGGCAGCUCAACUGUCAAGGUGCCAUUGAUACUGCAGAGCUUGAGUACAGAUGAUGUUGGCGGAAUAUGACAUGUAGCGGUGAAAUGCAUAGAUAUGUCAUAGAACACCGAUUGCGAAGGCAGCUGACAAAACUGUAACUGACGCUGAGGCACGAAAGUGUGGGGAUCAAACAGG